rnacentral:lncRNA from 1 species
AAGGUAGCAGGGAUGUAUAAGCCCAGAUGUUCUACUUUGCUUUGUGACAGCACUGAAUAGGGAUCCUAUUCUUAGCCCACAAGCACAGGUGUUUCAAAGGAAGAGAGUGAGAACAUCAGACUGGAGAUUAAAUAAUAUUCACCAAAGAAGAGAGAGAGUAGCAUGGGCAUCAUUUGGGCAUUUCUGUCAUCGCUGCAUGCUUCUCUCAGAUAAUGAGGGCUUGGGAUCUGGAACCAACAGUGAGGGAAACCAGCACCAUGAGGGGAUACAAGCUCCACAAACUCCAAAUCCACCUUUUAUGAGCAAGCUGAACUACUGCAUUAAAAACAGUGAACAAAGACAUUCCUCAGUUACUUGGAGGCCAACAGCAGGAAAUCAGGAGUGAAAUGAUACAUGAGUGCUGGAGAUGCACCUUCAAGCUGAGAAAAUAUUGGGUGCUAAUGGACUCUUCAAGAAGCAAUCUGGGAUCUGAGAAAUGAAAGAAGAAAAAAAAUUGGCAGGGCUCACUUCUUCUGUGAUGAAGAAACCGUCGGGAUAAAGCUCACCCUGGGCUUCUACCCCCCGUACAUCCCUGAAACCAUCAGAAAGCAGAAUUCAGGACAGACUGAGAUGUCCUUUGUUUGAAACAGAUAUGGAGCACUGGAUUAAAAC